AGUGAGCAAUGAAUAAAUAAAAAAGAGGUAAAUCGAGAAACAGACAUGCUCUGGGAUUGUUAGUAAUUUGUAAUUACAUGCACUGAAAUAAUCAAAUUUUAUAAAAUGUUGAAGAUCAGUAUGAAAUAUUUGAUUAUCAUAAUACAGAUAUACUACAUGAAGUAUAUAACCGUGGAGCGUAUAGUAGCCACGUUGGCAGACCUAGGCCAGUUUCAUCUGUCACACAAAGACCAAAGGAAAGAGACAACUCUUAUAUGGUAGAGUAAACUACCAGGUUCUUGGAAACUAUUGGUGGUGAAGACGCAAUUGUUUACGUAGUAAUUGGCUACUCGAAUUCAAAUACAGAUUGAAGAAUUGCCUCAUAAAAAGAGAAAGAGCCAAUAAAAGACACAUGAGCUUAAACCAAAACGACUAAGCUAUUGGCUUUUGUAUAAUUUAUUGAGAUGUUUUACAUCAUGAUGCGAUUUCACAAAUGUUUACAUGUACAUCAUGACCAAUACAAAUAAAUACCAUUAAAUC
rnacentral:misc_RNA from 1 species